UGGGGAAUAUUGCACAAUGGGCGGAAGCCUGAUGCAGCGACGCCGCGUGGGGGAUGACGGCCUUCGGGUUGUAAACCUCUUUCAGUGCAGAACAAGGCUCUUUGUGGGUUGAGGGUAUGCGCAGAAGAAGCGCCGGCUAACUACGUGCCAGCAGCCGCGGUAAUACGUAGGGCGCGAGCGUUGUCCGGAUUUAUUGGGCGUAAAGAGCUCGUAGGCGGUUUGUCGCGGCUGCUGUGAAAUCCUCUGGCUUAACUGGGGGCGUGCAGUGGGUACGGGCAGACUGGAGGGCGGUAGGGGAGACUGGAAUUCCUGGUGUAGCGGUGGAAUGCGCAGAUAUCAGGAGGAACACCGAUGGCGAAGGCAGGUCUCUGGGCCGCAACUGACGCUGAGGCGCGAAAGUGUGGGGAGCAAACAGG
rnacentral:rRNA from 2 species